UAACCUGAAGGAGACUAAGAAGAGGGGUUCAGUGGAAUUGGACAAAGAUGGUUGCUGGAGGGGCGAGAAGGAGUGAUCGAAGAGGGUAAAAACGUCGUCGGCGUCUUCGGAUGCAGAGGGAAAGAGUAGAGAGUCCAUGAAACGGAUGGAUUUGAAAAGUAAAUGUCGAAGGAAGGAAGAUAAAAAACGAAUAGAUUCGUUAAAGGGAAAACGGAGGGGAAAAGUCAAGAAUUUGGCUAUGGUGUGUCGUUUCAGGUUGAGGCCACGGUUCAUCUGUACAAAGAAAAGUUGUGAAUGAAAGCUAAUUACUGUUUUAAAUUAAU
rnacentral:lncRNA from 1 species